UACAGAGGUCCCAAGCGUUGUUCGGAUUCAUUGGGCGUAAAGGGUGCGUAGGUGGCACUGUAAGUCGGGUGUGAAAUCCUGAGGCUUAACCUCGGAACUGCAUUCGAUACUGCGGUGCUUGAGGACUGGAGAGGAGACUGGAAUUCAUGGUGUAGCAGUGAAAUGCGUAGAGAUCAUGAGGAAGACCAGUGGCGAAGGCGGGUCUCUGGACAGUUCCUGACACUGAGGCACGAAGGCCAGGGGAGCAAACGGG
rnacentral:rRNA from 1 species